GUGCAAGUGGAGCUGUGCUUUGCUUACAACCAGAGUGCCGGGAACCCCAACUACAGGCGAAACAUCAGUGAGUGCUGGGGUGCAGCGUAAAAGGGGUACGCUCCCCUGUCCCCUUGCUGACCACCCUGUCUACCUGUAGCCCUGGCCUACACUCUGGAGGCCGACAGGGACCGCCGCCCGCCCCGGCUCCGCUUUGCCGGCAGUGAGUCCGCUGUCUUCCACGGCUUCUUCUCCAUGCCGGAAAUGCGCUGCCAGAAGCUGGAGCUGCUCCUGAUGGACAACCUCCGUGACAAACUCCGCCCCAUCAUCAUCUCCAUGAACUAUUCUUUACCUUUGCGGAUGCCCGAUCGCCCCCGGCUGGGGCUGCGGUCCCUGGACGCCUACCCGAUCCUCAACCAGGCACAGGCUCUGGAGAACCACACUGAGGUCCAGUUCCAGAAGGAGUGCGGGCCUGACAACAAGUGUGAGAGCAACUUGCAGAUGCGGGCAGCCUUCGUGUCAGAGCAGCAGCAGAAGCUGAGCAGGUGGCUGUGGGCCGCCGGCCGAGUUAAUCGGCCAAGGGUGGGACGGGGCCUC
rnacentral:sRNA from 1 species